GACGAACGCUGGCAGCGUGCUUAACACAUGCAAGUCGAACGGAAAUGCGCUGCUUGUGGGGGGUGCGCGAGUGGCGAACGGGUAAGUAACACGAGAGUAACCGACCCUUUACUUUGAGAAAAGUUAAUAAAAGUGGGUCUAAUUCCGGGUAGGAGCUCCUUCUUCAUAGUGGUGGUUGGAGAGUGUUGGCGGUUGGUGAUGGACUCGCGGUUUAUCAGUUUGUUGGUGGGGUAGUGGCUUACCAAGGCUUUGCCGGGUAGCCGGCCUGAGAGGGUGAAUGGCCAAAUUGGGACUGAGAUCCCGGCCAGAAUCCUACGGGGGGGAGCAGUGGGGAAUAAUGCAACAUGGGCGGAAGCCUGAUGCAGAAACGCCGCGUGCGGGAUGACGGCCUUCGGGUUGUAAACCGUUUUCGCAUGUGACGAAGAGUGAGUGACGGUAAUGGGUAAAGAAGCACCGGCUAAAUACGUG
rnacentral:rRNA from 1 species